rnacentral:rRNA from 1 species
AAUAGAUACCCAGGUAGUCCACGCCGUAAACGAUGGAUACUAGCUGUUUGAGCGCAAGUUUGAGUGGCCAAGCGAAAGUGAUAAGUAUCCCACCUGGGGAGUACGGGCGCAAGCCUGAAACUCAAAGGAAUUGACGGGGGCCCGCACAAGCGGUGGAGCAUGUGGUUUAAUUCGAUGAUACGCGAGGAACCUUACCAGGGCUUAAAUGUAGAUUGACGUAUUUGGAAACAGAUAUUUCUUCGGACAAUUUACAAGGUGCUGCAUGGUUGUCGUCAGCUCGUGCCGUGAGGUGUCAGGUUAAGUCCUAUAACGAGCGCAACCCCUGUUGUUAGUUGCCAGCGAGUAAUGUCGGGAACUCUAGCAAGACUGCCAGUGUAAACUGUGAGGAAGGUGGGGAUGACGUCAAAUCAUCACGGCCCUUACGUCCUGGGCCACACACGUGCUACAAUGGCCGGUACAGAGAGCAGCCACUUAGCGAUAAGGAGCGAAUCUAUAAAGCCGGUCACAGUUCGGA